rnacentral:rRNA from 1 species
AUUGAACGCUGGCGGCAUGCUUUACACAUGCAAGUCGAACGGUAACAGGCCGCAAGGUGCUGACGAGUGGCGAACGGGUGAGUAAUGCAUCGGAACGUGCCCAGUCGUGGGGGAUAACGUAGCGAAAGUUACGCUAAUACCGCAUACGAUCUACGGAUGAAAGCAGGGGACCGCAAGGCCUUGUGCUCCUGAAGCGGCCGAUAUCUGAUUAGCUAGUUGGUAGGGUAAAGGCCUACCAAGGCAUCGAUCAGUAGCUGGUCUGAGAGGACGACCAGCCACACUGGAACUGAGACACGGUCCAGACUCCUACGGGAGGCAGCAGUGGGGAAUUUUGGACAAUGGGGGCAACCCUGAUCCAGCAAUGCCGCGUGAGUGAAGAAGGCCUUCGGGUUGUAAAGCUCUUUUGUCAGGGAAGAAACGGUUGUGGCUAAUAUCCAUGACUAAUGACGGUACCUGAAGAAUAAGCACCGGCUAACUACGUGCCAGCCGCCGCGGUAAAAC